UACGUAGGUGGCAAGCGUUAUCCGGAUUUACUGGGUGUAAAGGGAGCGUAGACGGUGAGGCAAGUCUGAUGUGAAAACCCGGGGCUCAACUCCGGGAUUGCAUUGGAAACUGUCUGACUUGAGUACUGGAGGGGUAAGCGGAAUUCCUGGUGUAGCGGUGAAAUGCGUAGAUAUCAGGAGGAACACCGGUGGCGAAGGCGGCUUACUGGACAGUAACUGACGUUGAGGCUCGAAAGCGUGGGGAGCAAACAGGAUUAGAUACCCGGGUAGUCCCUGAG
rnacentral:rRNA from 1 species